UGGAGCGUCGUCUAACGGCAGGACAAGAGAUUUUGGUUCUCUUUAUCGGGGUUCGAAUCCCUGCGCUCCAACCA
rnacentral:tRNA from 1 species